GACGAACGCUGGCGGCGUGCUUAACACAUGCAAGUCGAACGGUAAGGCCCUUCGGGGUACACGAGUGGCGAACGGGUGAGUAACACGUGGGUGAUCUGCCCUGCACUUCGGGAUAAGCUUGGGAAACUGGGUCUAAUACCGGAUAGGACCACGGUCUGCAUGGAUUGUGGUGGAAAGCUUUUUGCGGGUGUGGGAUGGGCCCGCGGCCUAUCAGCUUGUUGGUGGGGUGAUGGCCUACCAAGGCGACGACGGGUAGCCGGCCUGAGAGGGUGUCCGGCCACACUGGGACUGAGAUACGGCCCAGACUCCUACGGGAGGCAGCAGUGGGGAAUAUUGCACAAUGGGCGCAAGCCUGAUGCAGCGACGCCGCGUGGGGGAUGACGGCCUUCGGGUUGGUAAACCUCUUCCUAGCAGGGACGAAGGGU
rnacentral:rRNA from 1 species